rnacentral:tRNA from 1 species
GUUCGUAUAGCUUAUUUUAAAGUUUCGUAUUCUUGCUUCGAUGAUGGAUUAAUUCCUACGGGCA